CAAAAAACUGGACAAGAACAACAUCGCACACGUCGUACAGGAACCGAGACCAGGACCAGAGCGGACAGAUCUAAAAUGGAGGGAAACUGAGACAACACAUUCAGGACAACCAAAGAGCACACAGUUAUACCUCAAAAACUCUGGGCUGUUUUUAAAUACGUUUUUUUCUUUUUUCUAAUUUUUUAGGUUCAACCUUCUGGCAUUAACACACCAAAAAAAAAUGAGUUAAAAGAAAGUGGUUAAAUAAUUUCACAAUACGGCGGGUCCUCGGUUUAUGACGUCCUCAACCUACGGCGUCUCGCUGUUACGACGCCACAACCCCUACAUAAACGUUUAUAUUUUUUGCCCGUUGUUUAUGGCUCCCAAGCCCGGUUUUGUCAGACCAAAUUGUGGAGGUCUUCAUUGCUGUGGGCUGUGACUAACUCCAUGUAAAAGUUUCCUGGGCAACAGGUUCCGAUUUCGUACAUAUUUCGCGAUAUGUAAAAUGUAAUUAUAUGUUCUUUACUAGGGUGAAAAAAUUUGAAUUAUGUCGCCGUCGGGAACCGAACCCCAACAAAAGCCGUGAGAGUUUGCUGCGUCGCUGAACACCUUAAUUCAUCUUCUCAUCCUAUGUUUUUCUCUUUCCUCCCCCUUUUACUUUACCUUCCGUCUCUCCCUGCAGGUUCCACCUCCUGUCAGCUCUCUCCUCUAAAUGGCAGUGCUUACCCUCUCAUAUAAGCCAGCACGGCUGCUGCCGCCGCUGCUGCCGCUGCUGCCGCCGCUGUUAAAAGCAUGUCAUUUUCCUGCUGCUAAUGUCAAGUGGGAACAGAUCAGAGCAGGCAGGAGUGUCGGAUAAUAACGCAGCCUCCUCUCCUGAUGCUGCUGCUGCUGCUAACCCUGUCCUCCGUCUUCUGCUCAUCCUCUGUGACCUUCGCUGCUGCUAAACGCUGGGUAAUCAUCUUCUAAGGGCGACCGUGUUCUACUGGCUUUUAAUUGCGUCUCUCAGAAAAGCCCUCGAUUGUGACGAAGAGUAAGAGGUAGGAGGUUGGAUGGAUUGACAUUUUCCCUUCUCUUUAAGUCCGGCCAACUUGUUCUUGAACUACUUUAUGUGUCACUCACAUUUCGCUGUCAUAAUGUACGUACUUCACACUGUUAUAUCACCCGCUGGUGAUAUAAGAGCUAAAGCGCGGCUUUUAGUUUCUGAACCACGCACUCAAGAAGUCAACGUUAGGGCCCGAAAAACAGCAAGAGGUCAGGACGAAAACAACAUCCACAGAUUGAUGGCUGCAUUGGCAUCGUUUAUGAAGUGUAGAGCAGGGGUUCUCAACCCCUGGUCCCUGGCCCGGUACUGGUCCAUAGGUCAUAUGGUCUCGGGCCACAACAACAACAACAAAAAAAUAAAUAAUUUUAAAAAAAGUUUUCAUUUACUUUCUUCACUUGAAGACAAUCCAGAAGUUUUUCAAAAUAAUACGUCUUUCAGAUUCCACUGCUAACAAAAUGAAGUCUAACAUAUGUUUUAUUUUGAAAAUUCACCGCCACUACUGCCUGGUAGUGGCAUACCGGUCGUUGAUACAAAAUAGGUUGAGGACAGAGGACUGAAAAAUAUAACAGAGGACUCAUACUCACCAGAGUACAGCUAGCUCAUUAAUCGAAGACAGAAACAAAGUGGCCUGAGUGACGUUUGUUAUUUGAUAGACAUACAACGCACAUCCGAAAAACACCGACUCCUAACUUCUGAAGUUUUUCUGUUUCUUUCCCAUGAUCUACUAUAUAAGUUGAAGUUCUUGAAGUUUUUUUAACCAAUAGCCGAGUUAUGAUAAAAAUGUUUCCCAUAAACUGCACUCAGUCACGUCCUUUGUCCAGACUGAAAUGAAUAAAAAUGUAAUAAAAUCAGGGUAAAGGAAAUGAAUCAAACUAAAUGUUCUAACUAGAAAAAAAAUGUAGUCAUGAGAAGAAGAUGAUCAAAAUCAUUUGUUUGGCCAUGAAAAGCCAGAGGCUGGGCCUUGAACAUCUUACAACUUUCAGAUUAACCUUACGUUUUUUAAAAAGAUACCUGUCCAUUUUUGGUGGUAUUGAGAAAAGAAGCCCAAAUU